rnacentral:tRNA from 1 species
GCCCGGGUGGCUCAGUCGGUUAAGCAUCUGACUUCAGCUCAGGUCAUCAUCUCGUGGUUUGUGGGUUCGAGCCCCGCGUCGGGCU